rnacentral:rRNA from 1 species
UCAGGUGUGAUUACCCGCUGAACUUAAGCAUAU